rnacentral:rRNA from 1 species
GACGAACGCUGGCGGCGUGCUUAACACAUGCAAGUCGAACGGAAAGGCCCCCAUCUUGGUGGGGGUGCUCGAGUGGCGAACGGGUGAGUAACACGUGGGUGAUCUGCCCUGUACUUCGGGAUAAGCUUGGGAAACUGGGUCUAAUACCGGAUAGGACCAUGGUUUAGUGUCUCAUGGUGGAAAGAUUAUUGUUUUGGUGCAGGAUGAGCUCGCGGCCUAUCAGCUUGUUGGUGGGGUAAUGGCCUACCAAGGCGUCGACGGGUAGCCGGCCUGAGAGGGUGGACGGACACAGUGGGACGGAGAUACGGCCCAGACACCGACGGGAGGCAGGAGUGGGGAAUAUUGCACAAUGGGCGCAAGCCUGAGGCAGCGACGCCGCGUGGGGGAUGACGGCCGUCGGGUUGUAAACUCCUUUCGUUAGGGACGAAGCCGCACUUUUUUUGGGUGUGGUGACGGUACCUUUGUGAAGAAGCACCGGCUAACUACGUG